rnacentral:rRNA from 1 species
AAAUUUUCUUAAGGAACUCGGCAAAAUCCCAAUGGCCCACCAGGGCAUAUUGGAACACGGGCCUCGACUGUUUACCAAAAACAUAGCCCUCGGCCAAUAUGAAAAUAGAUGUAUAGAGGGUGAUGCCUGCCCAAUGGUUGUAUCUAAAAGCGGUUGAUAAAAGUCGACCUCGUAAGGACAAUUGAAUGGCCGCGGUAACACUGACCGUGAUAAUGUAGCGUAAUCAAUAGCCAAUUAAUUGUUGGCCAGUAUGAAUGGCGCCACGAAGGCCCCACUGUCUUAAGGAAGUUCCCAGUGAAAUUGAAUUCGUAGUGAAGAUGCUACGUCCAAUUUGUUAGACGAAAAGACCCCGUUGAGCUUUACUGGGGCACUUACACGGCCCCGGCCUUCCCGUGUCCGGGAACCGGCCGAAUUUAAAUGGGUGGUUUAGACUAUGUGGCAGCCCCCCGCCGGGGCAGAUGAAACCCCACUCCCCCAUGUCAAAGGGGCUAACCCCCCCCUUGGGGGGGAGAGUGUAAGUAGGACAGUUUGGUUGGGGCGACCGCCUUUUAAAGAGUAACGAAGGUGCGCUUAAGGUGCGCAAUUAAUGACUGAAGCCUGACUGCGAGGGGGACACCCCGAGCAGACACCCCUAAGCCCGCCCGAAGGGCGGCGGGUGGGGUGGGCCAUAGUGACCCGUU